rnacentral:rRNA from 1 species
GGUGCUAACGUCCGUCGUGAAGAGGGAAACAACCCAGACCGCCAGCUAAGGUCCCAAAGUCAUGGUUAAGUGGGAAACGAUGUGGGAAGGCCCAGACAGCCAGGAUGUUGGCUUAGAAGCAGCCAUCAUUUAAAGAAAGCGUAAUAGCUCACUGGUCGAGUCGGCCUGCGCGGAAGAUGUAACGGGGCUAAACCAUGCACCGAAGCUGCGGCAGCGACACUGUGUGUUGUUGGGUAGGGGAGCGUUCUGUAAGCCUGUGAAGGUGUGUCGUGAGGC